UUAAGUUAUUAAGGGCGCACGGUGGAUGCCUUGGCACUAGAAGCCGAUGAAGGACGUUACUAACGACGAUAUGCUUUGGGGAGCUGUAAGUAAGCUUUGAUCCAGAGAUUUCCGAAUGGGGAAACCCAGCAUGAGUUAUGUCAUGUUAUCGAUAUGUGAAUACAUAGCAUAUCAGAAGGCACACCCGGAGAACUGAAACAUCUUAGUACCCGGAGGAAGAGAAAGAAAAUUCGAUUCCCUUAGUAGCGGCGAGCGAAACGGGAAGAGCCCAAACCAACAAGCUUGCUUGUUGGGGUUGUAGGACACUCUAUACGGAGUUACAAAGGACGACAUUAGACGAAUCAUCUGGAAAGAUGAAUCAAAGAAGGUAAUAAUCCUGUAGUCGAAAAUGUUGUCUCUCUUGAGUGGAUCCUGAGUACGACGGAGCACGUGAAAUUCCGUCGGAAUCUGGGAGGACCAUCUCCUAAGGCUAAAUACUCUCUAGUGACCGAUAGUGAACCAGUACCGUGAGGGAAAGGUGAAAAGCACCCCGGAAGGGGAGUGAAAUAGAACCUGAAACCGUGUGCUUACAAGUAGUCAGAGCCCGUUAAUGGGUGAUGGCGUGCCUUUUGUAGAAUGAACCGGCGAGUUACGAUUUGAUGCAAGGUUAAGCAGUAAAUGUGGAGCCGUAGCGAAAGCGAGUCUGAAUAGGGCGUUUAGUAUUUGGUCGUAGACCCGAAACCAGGUGAUCUACCCUUGGUCAGGUUGAAGUUCAGGUAACACUGAAUGGAGGACCGAACCGACUUACGUUGAAAAGUGAGCGGAUGAACUGAGGGUAGCGGAGAAAUUCCAAUCGAACCUGGAGAUAGCUGGUUCUCUCCGAAAUAGCUUUAGGGCUAGCCUCAAGUGAUGAUUAUUGGAGGUAGAGCACUGUUUGGACGAGGGGCCCCUCUCGGGUUACCGAAUUCAGACAAACUCCGAAUGCCAAUUAAUUUAACUUGGGAGUCAGAACAUGGGUGAUAAGGUCCGUGUUCGAAAGGGAAACAGCCCAGACCACCAGCUAAGGUCCCAAAAUAUAUGUUAAGUGGAAAAGGAUGUGGCGUUGCCCAGACAACUAGGAUGUUGGCUUAGAAGCAGCCAUCAUUUAAAGAGUGCGUAAUAGCUCACUAGUCGAGUGACACUGCGCCGAAAAUGUACCGGGGCUAAACAUAUUACCGAAGCUGUGGAUUGUCCUUUGGACAAUGGUAGGAGAGCGUUCUAAGGGCGUUGAAGCAUGAUCGUAAGGACAUGUGGAGCGCUUAGAAGUGAGAAUGCCGGUGUGAGUAGCGAAAGACGGGUGAGAAUCCCGUCCACCGAUUGACUAAGGUUUCCAGAGGAAGGCUCGUCCGCUCUGGGUUAGUCGGGUCCUAAGCUGAGGCCGACAGGCGUAGGCGAUGGAUAACAGGUUGAUAUUCCUGUACCACCUAUAAUCGUUUUAAUCGAUGGGGGGACGCAGUAGGAUAGGCGAAGCGUGCGAUUGGAUUGCACGUCUAAGCAGUAAGGCUGAGUAUUAGGCAAAUCCGGUACUCGUUAAGGCUGAGCUGUGAUGGGGAGAAGACAUUGUGUCUUCGAGUCGUUGAUUUCACACUGCCGAGAAAAGCCUCUAGAUAGAAAAUAGGUGCCCGUACCGCAAACCGACACAGGUAGUCAAGAUGAGAAUUCUAAGGUGAGCGAGCGAACUCUCGUUAAGGAACUCGGCAAAAUGACCCCGUAACUUCGGGAGAAGGGGUGCUCUUUAGGGUUAACGCCCAGAAGAGCCGCAGUGAAUAGGCCCAAGCGACUGUUUAUCAAAAACACAGGUCUCUGCUAAACCGUAAGGUGAUGUAUAGGGGCUGACGCCUGCCCGGUGCUGGAAGGUUAAGAGGAGUGGUUAGCUUCUGCGAAGCUACGAAUCGAAGCCCCAGUAAACGGCGGCCGUAACUAUAACGGUCCUAAGGUAGCGAAAUUCCUUGUCGGGUAAGUUCCGACCCGCACGAAAGGCGUAACGAUUUGGGCACUGUCUCAACGAGAGACUCGGUGAAAUCAUAGUACCUGUGAAGAUGCAGGUUACCCGCGACAGGACGGAAAGACCCCGUGGAGCUUUACUGUAGCCUGAUAUUGAAAUUCGGCACAGCUUGUACAGGAUAGGUAGGAGCCUUUGAAACGUGAGCGCUAGCUUACGUGGAGGCGCUGGUGGGAUACUACCCUAGCUGUGUUGGCUUUCUAACCCGCACCACUUAUCGUGGUGGGAGACAGUGUCAGGCGGGCAGUUUGACUGGGGCGGUCGCCUCCUAAAAGGUAACGGAGGCGCUCAAAGGUUCCCUCAGAAUGGUUGGAAAUCAUUCAUAGAGUGUAAAGGCAUAAGGGAGCUUGACUGCGAGACCUACAAGUCGAGCAGGGUCGAAAGACGGACUUAGUGAUCCGGUGGUUCCGCAUGGAAGGGCCAUCGCUCAACGGAUAAAAGCUACCCCGGGGAUAACAGGCUUAUCUCCCCCAAGAGUUCACAUCGACGGGGAGGUUUGGCACCUCGAUGUCGGCUCAUCGCAUCCUGGGGCUGUAGUCGGUCCCAAGGGUUGGGCUGUUCGCCCAUUAAAGCGGUACGCGAGCUGGGUUCAGAACGUCGUGAGACAGUUCGGUCCCUAUCCGUCGUGGGCGUAGGAAAUUUGAGAGGAGCUGUCCUUAGUACGAGAGGACCGGGAUGGACAUACCUCUGGUGUACCAGUUGUCGUGCCAACGGCAUAGCUGGGUAGCUAUGUGUGGACGGGAUAAGUGCUGAAAGCAUCUAAGCAUGAAGCCCCCCUCAAGAUGAGAUUUCCCAACUUCGGUUAUAAGAUCCCUCAAAGAUGAUGAGGUUAAUAGGUUCGAGGUGGAAGCAUGGUGACAUCGUUUCCUGUAGGAUGGAAACAUAGAUUAAGUUAUUAAG
rnacentral:rRNA from 1 species